UGCAAAAUCUCAUCUGCCACAAGA
rnacentral:siRNA from 1 species